rnacentral:rRNA from 1 species
UACGUAGGCAGCAAGCGUUGUUCGGAGUUACUGGGCGUAAAGGGUGUGUAGGCGGUUAUUUAAGUUUGGUGUGAAAUCUCCCGGCUCAACCGGGAGGGUGCGCCGAAUACUGAAUGACUUGGAGUGCGGGAGAGGAAAGUGGAAUUCCUGGUGUAGCGGUGAAAUGCGUAGAUAUCAGGAGGAACACCGGUGGCGUAGACGGCUUUCUGGACCGUAACUGACGCUGAGACACGAAAGCGUGGGUAGCAAACAGG